CCCUGGGUGACGUCUCAGCUGGGCUGGGCCAAGUGACUCCAACAACCCCCCUGCAUGAAGGGCUGCCCCCCCGGGACCCCGAGAGAGGAUGCAGGUGGGGUCUGGAGGAGGCUGGAGCAGGCCCAGAUUUGCAUCAAUCCCCGCCUGCCCAUCAGCCACCAUCACAGGGUAACCAGGAGAGAAUAAGAGGGAGCUGAGAGAGGCCAGACUCAGCUGGGAGCUCUUUGAAGCUGAGCUCUCGGGUCCUCUCGCCAUGGCCUGGCCUCUCGUCUGUCUCUCACUGCUCUCCUUCUGCUCAGGCUCCCUCUCCCAGGCUGUGCUGACUCAGCCUCCCUCUGUGUCUGCAGCCCUGGGGAGCUCGGCCAGACUCUCCUGCACCCUGAGCAGUGGGAACAGUGGUAAUGAUGUUGGUUGGCACCAGCAGAGCCCAGGAAAGCCCCCUCGGUACCUCCUGUAUGUCACCAGCAGUGGAGGUACAGGCAGGGGCGACGGGAUCCCUGAGCGCUUCUCUGGCUCCGGAUCUGGGACUAACCGAUUCCUGUCCAUCAGCAAUGUCGAGCCCGAGGAUGAAGCCGAUUAUUUCUGCCAGUCAUAUUAUGGCAGUGGUAGUAGCUUUCGUUUUACACAGUGA